rnacentral:lncRNA from 1 species
GCGGUGAUGCACCAGGUGGAAGGGCUUGGGAUGCGGAGGGAAGUGUGAAAAAGAGAUGCAUAUGGAAUUCAGCUGCAAAGAGACUGUAACAUGCGGAAAGACUUCCUCAGGGGGAAGCCUUGAUAAUUAAGUAACCUUUUGAUUUUCCUUUUUUUGAAGCAGAACCUUGAUCUAAAACGCAUCAGAAGAUCCAGAGCUGCAUUGUAGAAGUGCGAAGAUACAUAUUCAAGCCUCUUCCUUCGACGCAUUGUGUAGUGCUUGCAGCCAGCUUCCUUAUCACCGCACAUAUGAGUUUCCAUUUGCAAGAUGAUUUUUCUGAGGUUGGGAGGUUCCCCCCCUUUAUAAUAAAAUAUUUUGCAUACGAUUCUAUUUUUCGCAAGAAGGGAUAACUGUCGCAAAAACUGCCAAGACGAGAAGCAGGCUCAACAAAAUAGAUGUUAUCAAAUCCACUCCGUAUGCAAAAUAGCAGAUGCUGUGAAAUAUAAAUGGCAGGGGCCACCAUUUAUAAGUUUAGACAGCCUCUGGACCUGCGCCCCGCCUAAUGCUGGAAGAGGAAUCGAAUUGCAAGACUGGGCACCGGUGGGAAAUGGCCACAGGCAUGAUGUAGUACUCACUUCAGUUCAAAACGUUUAA